rnacentral:rRNA from 1 species
AUUGAACGCUGGCGGCAUGCCUUACACAUGCAAGUCGAACGGUAACAGGUUAAGCUGACGAGUGGCGAACGGGUGAGUAAUGUAUCGGAACGUGCCCAGUCGUGGGGUAUAACUGCUCGAAAGAGCAGCUAAUACCGCAUACGACCUGAGGGUGAAAGCGGGGGAUCGCAAGACCUCGCGCGAUUGGAGCGGCCGAUAUCAGAUUAGGUAGUUGGUGAGGUAAAGGCUCACCAAGCCGACGACCGGUAGCUGGUCUGAGAGGACGACCAGCCACACGCGGGCUGAGACACGGCCCAGACUCCUACGGGAGGCAGCAGUGGGGAAUGUUGGACAAUGGGGGCAAGCCUGAUCCAGCCAUGCCGCGUGCGGGAAGAAGGCCUUCGGGUUGUAAAGCGCUUUUGUCAGGGAAGAAAAGGUUCUGGCUAAUACCUGGGAUUCAUGACGGUACCUGAAGAAUAAGCACCGGCUAACUACGUG